GCCUCUAUAGCUCAGUGGCAGAGCGUCUGUGUCUUGUGAACAGAUGGUCUGUGGUUCAAUCCCGUAUAGAGGAC
rnacentral:tRNA from 1 species